rnacentral:rRNA from 1 species
ACAAGCGGUGGAGCACGUGGUUUAAUUCGAUGCAAACCGAAGAACCUUACCUGGGCUCGAACGUAAGAUGACUGUAGGUGAAAGCUUACAUCUCUUCGGAGCAUUUUACGAGGUGCUGCAUGGUUGUCGUCAGCUCGUGCCGUGAGGUGUCGGGUUAAGUCCCAUAACGAGCGCAACCCCUACCUUUAGUUGCCAUCAGGUUAAGCUGGGGACUCUAAAGGAACUGCCUACGCAAGUAGUGAGGAAGGCGGGGAUGACGUCAAAUCAGCACGGCCCUUACGUCCAGGGCUACACACGUGCUACAAUGGCCGAUACAGAGGGCAGCUACCUGGUGACAGGAUGCAAAUCUCCAAAGUCGGUCUCAGUUCGGAUCGGAGUCUGCAACCCGACUCCGUGAAGUUGGAUUCGCUAGUAAUCGCGCAUCAGCCAUGGCGCGGUGAAUACGUUCCCGGGCCUU